GGACGAUGCUGAGCGGCACGGGCUCCAGCGGCCUGUAUAAAGCCCCUCUUUCCAAGAGUCUUAUGGUGGUGCUCAGUACUGUGGCCUUUAUUUUAGCUGUGCCAUUUCAGCAAUAUCAGAAUUACUUUGUGUAUAACUUAAAAGCAAUUAAACAAGAGCAUGAAAUAUGGAGAAUUAUCUUUGCCAGGAUUGUUUGCCUUGACCUCAAGGACGUGUUCUGUAGUUGCCUUCUUAUCUACAAUUUUAGAAUUUUUGAAAGAAGAUAUGGCAGCCGAAAAUUUGCAUCCUUCCUUCUGGGCAGCUGGGUGCUGUCUGCACUGAUGGACUUGCUGCUCGUGGAAGCCCUGCAUCAUACGCUUGACAUGUCUGUGAACAUCUUGCCAUCUGGUUUUCUAGGUCCUGUCUUUGGAUUGUUUGUGCCUUUUUACUACUCCAUUCCAAGUGUUCAAGUGACUCAAAUCCUGGGCAGAUUCUCCAUAACAAACAAAACUCUCGUUUAUAUUGUGGGUCUGCAGCUUUUGACUUCCAGUACCAAUAUAUGGAUCUUGGCGUUCAGUGGAUUGCUCUCUGGGAUUAUGUACCAUUGCAAUGUGCUGAAGGUGCAGCAGUUGCUUUACGUGCCCAAGUGGCUGGCCAGAUGUGCCUCGUUUACCCUUGAACCUCUCUUAUCAUCCACUGAUCCCACCCACGAGACUCCCAUAGGAAUGGGUGCAACGCUGGAGAUUCAAAGGCAACAGAGGGCUGAACUCCUGGAUCAACAAAUCAUGCUGGCUCAGCUGAAUCAAAACAACAGGAGGCAUCGUGGGCAGGGUGGUUUGAUUAACUGGGAGAGGCUGUUCCCUCAAAUGCGCAACAGACUUAAUGCUAACAAUCAACAACAAGAUAGUGGACGGAAUAGCCCUUCACCAAGUGCACCAGUUUCUGAAGAGCAGGUGGCAAGACUGAUGGAGAUGGGGUUUUCUCGAGUAGACGCCUUGCAAGCUCUAAGAGCUACAAACAAUGAUCUUAAUAUGGCCACCAACUUCCUGCUCCGCCACUGACAACAGAUGGCUGACUUAAAUGACUUUGUAUCUGACUUCACUGCUGAACAUGGACAUGUUGAGUGGUGCUGCACAACACAAAAGUCAGAAUUAUUUUUGUCAAGAUCUUAAAUCGUACUGGUUAAGGAGAGGGGCUGUUGGUCCUGUCAUUCACGGAGGUCACAGAUCAGCUCUUGUCAGCUCAAGUUGUAAGCAAGAUACAGCAUAAUGAAAGCUAGACCCUGAGCAGGUGUUCCUUAAAGUGAGGAGGAGAGGUUUAAAACUGAACUGCUGGAACUUCACACACCAAAUCGUGGGCUGUGGCUCAAUGGGCCACCGUCUUGUCUCUGGACAGGAGGUCAGGGGCUCAGGGACCCCUCCACUGCAUUGAAGACAAAGUCCUAAACUGAUAGUUCAUCAAAGUACCCUGGGAGUUGUGUACUUUCAGAGGUGCAGUCUUUCAGGUGGAAGGUUACACAGCAGCCUGGUCUAUUACCUUAGAUGGAUGUAAAAGCCCCCAAAACAAUAUUUGAAGGAGUGCAGGGGAGUCCUCCCUGUCAUUCUGACCAACAUCUACUCCUCAACCAGCAUGAACCCUGGUCAUGAUCACAGUGCUGUUUGUGGGAGCUUGCUAUGUGCAAAAUGGCUGCCAUAUUUCCUCCAUUACAACAGAGACUUCUAAAGUACUUGGAGCACUGUGAGACAUUCAGAAAGGGAUAUGAGAAGUGUACUUUCCAUUGACCUAAACCUGCACUCUUGUAAUCCAGAGAUGAUUUGGCUUCCAAUUGCAUGGGCUGCUGUAUGUAAAACAGUUCCAAAUUUUGCAAACAGUUGCUGCGUCAACUUCUGAGAGAUCCUAAUCUCCAUCUCUGCAUGACAUUGAUGGCUGCUGUUCUUUCACUAAUGUGCAACAGGUCUUAGUCUCCCACCAGCCAGUGCUCUCUGACCUACAUUGGCUCCCAAUCUGGCAACACCUCCCAUUUAUCUUCUCACUCUUAUUUUCAAGCCCUUCUUGAGCUCUCCUACCUCCUGCAGCAUUGAGAUCUCUGUGCUCCAACACUGGCUUCCAGUGGAACUUGAUUUUCACCAUCAUUUGGGACGGCACAGCAAGUACUGCUGCUACUGCACGGUGCCAGCGACCCAGAUUCAAUCCCUGUGUGGAGUUUGCACAUCUCCCAGUCACCCCUGGAAGCUCCGAUUUCCUCCCACAUCCCAAGGACAGGAGGUUUGGUAGGAUAAUUGGCUGCUGUAAAUUGCCCCGUGUGGGUGAGUGGGUGGCAGGAGAGUGAGGGGGGUAAGUUGAUGGGAAUGCGAGAGAGAAAUGCUGUGAGAGAGAAAUAAGUGGGGGAAUGACCCUGAGAGCUGGUAAGGAUAGCCUCCUGUGUAAUAAAGAAAUAUGAGGAAGUCACUCCAUCCCUUCAGCUGAGACCCCCCUGAAGUUCCUUCUCUGCCACUCCACCCCUCUCUUCACCUGUUAAGAAGAACCAGCAGCAGGGGAAUUGAACGACGAGCACAGUCUGUAACCUCAUGCCUCAGCACACCCCUCUCCACUGUUUCAAUCCAACAAGGGAUCAGUGUUGAUGCCAUGAGUGGUGUAGAAGGUCACGCCAAGAGCAGCACUAAGUAGACCUAAAACUGAAGUGCUGAGCUGGGGGUACACCAACUCAGGACAGCAUAUGUGGUGUGCAUUGUGUAUCUGUCUGUCUGUGUCUGUCUGUGCCUGUCUGUGUGCCUCUGUGUGUGCGUGUGUGUCUGCCUGUUUGUCUGUCUGUGUGUGUCUGUCUCUCCGUCUCUGUCUGUCUGUCUGUGUCUGCAUGUGUGUGUGUAUGUUUUCCUUUGAAGAUUUUAACAUUCAAUAGAAAAAUCAUAGAAACAAAAUCCUAAAUCUUUCAGACUUACCCGGUUUCACUCCCGUACAGUAUCAGAGACACAGAAUGAAUGUCACUCCAUAUUUUGCACAUGCAUUUCCACAUUAACUCAUCCUCAGAUGCUCACACUGCUACUACAACGGCUGCAAAGAUUGCCUGAAACACUGAACAUCUCAUUCCUUUCACUCAAUGAAAGAUUAAGCCCUAAAUCUGUUGAGGUUGUUUAAGCUGUGAAGAUUGGUAGGUGCACAGAAUGUUGCAGAAUGUAAUGAAUAUUUUGCCCCCAGAACACUCUACGCAAAGAAGUUGCAUUUCACUGUGUGUUUCAAUGUAUAUGUGACGAAUAAAGAAAUCAUCAAAA